AAUUCUCAACCUUCAGCUUUAUUGAUGAAGGCUUGGACUUGGAGGUCGUGCCGGCUCUCGUAGUCGGCUCCUCUGAAAUGCAUUAGUGCGAACGUUACCAGCCGCUUCAGCGUGAUAAUUAUCUGCGUUGCUGUGGAGGGUAUUCUAGUGUUCACGCUUCUAACCGUCUUCGGACAAAUUUCUGAA
rnacentral:misc_RNA from 3 species